CAUACUCUUUAAACUAUUAUCGAUGAUGCAUGAUGGAACAUUCGAUUCGACAAAUCGGCUUUCUUAGCUAUAAUCUAUACUACUAAAAUUAUUUAGAAACUAAAUUUUAUAAUAUUUCGACAGUAUUUGCCAAGUGAUUAAAGAAUCUAAAAAAUAAUUAUUUUGAUAGCCGAUGUGAUAUAUGUAUUUGUAAAUUUAACGGUGUAUAUCAAUUCAAUUUAGAUAAAAGUCUAAUAAAAAAUUAUAUUUACCAUCAAGAGUAAGAUCAAUAUUUUUUAUUUGAAAUUUAAAUAUUUUAUUACUGUUUUUAAUUUAUGAGAGUUUUAUUUUGAGCCGUUUGUUUUGAAGCUACUGGUUGGUUAUAUAACUAGGCAAACGAAUUAAAAAAUUUAGUUCCUAGAUAGUUUCAACACUAUAAAUUAUGUCGAACGGAGCCGAUUGCAAAAAAAGAUAUUUUAUCAAAAAAACUUGAAAGUACAGAAGCUUUCAUACUUUCAAAUGCAUAAUAUAGUCUGGAUCAGAAAUAUUUUGGUCAAUUCUUCUUCUUUUUUUUUUUU
rnacentral:lncRNA from 1 species